GAAAAAAAAGUUCCCGCCCCUGGACCUGACCUCAGCAUGGUAUGAAUAACCCGGCUGGAGAUCCCUUUCCCCUCUCUCUCUGCUGGGCAAACUUAACCCUCUCCUAGCUGAACCAGGUCAACCAGCAAUGCCCCUUUGUUG